UGGCUGUGGGAGCCAAGAAAUAGGAAACUGACACGUUGAAAGAGCAUCAGCUGUCCCGGGUGAGGUCACAGCUGGCCACUGGUGACCUCUGCCGGGUCAGCAGGUCAGCAGCCCCGCCCCUCCCGAGCUGCGGCCGCCAGGUCCUCCCCUGACCCUUGGCAAGGGCACGAUGCUCAUCCGUGCAGAGGGAAGCCGGGAGAACACCUCGCCCGCCCGUGGCUUGGUAAUCUGCUACCAUGUGACAAGGGCUCUCCAGCCACAGACGCUGCUUCGCCUUUCCUGCCAGAGUGACGGGCACUAACCGAGUGUUACAUCAUGUUGCUUUAUGUAUUCUCCAAUUCUGUUAUUAAGUGCGUACAUAUUUAUGGCUAUGUGACUCGUGAAGAAGACCUGGAAUAUACCAGAGGAACUGAAAGACACUGAGGACGCAGUCUACCAACUUGUGGUCGAUGACCUGAAAGACACUAUCAGCCAACCUGACUUAAUUGACAUGUGUAGAACCUAAUAACAAAAUAAGCAUUCUUUUCAAAUACACAUGGAACAUUCACCAAAGUAA